GGUAGCGUGGCUGGGCGGUCUAAGGCUCUGGAUUAAGGCUCUAGUCUCUUUGGCGGUGUGGGUUUGAAUCCCACUGCUGCCA
rfam:Lepisosteus oculatus unplaced genomic scaffold TNK182, whole genome shotgun sequence.